UCCAUGAAUGCACGUAAUCGAGUUACAAUUGUACCCGAUACUUGAAAACCCCUUCCAGCCUUAGCUAAGGGCAUACACGAAGAUAAUGAUCAGUAUGAUCUUGUGGCAAUGAUAGAGGAAAGUGAUUAGCAUUCAUCAAGAAGCAAGUGGAACCUUCUAAUUUCUAGAUGCAAGGUAAGGCUACUCUGGCUGCAUCUUUAAAACAACUAAGACUAAGGCUAGUUAUGAUUUCUCAAUAACACUCUACUUUGCCAAAAGU